UUCAUGGCUUUCAUCAGGAUCUUAACAGCUCAAAGUUCUUUGAGCUGUUAAGAUCCUGAUGAAAGCCA